CACAUGCAAGUCGAGCGGUAACAGACAUUUUGAUUUUGCUUGCAAAAUCUCGUGCUGACGAGCGGCGAACGGGUGAGUAACGCGUAGGAAUCUACCUAGUAGAAGGGGAUAGCCCGAGGAAACUCGGAUUAAUACCGUAUACGUCCUUAGGGAGAAAGAGGGCUUAGCUUUGAUGCUCUCGCUAUUAGAUGAGCCUGCGUAAGAUUAGCUUGUUGGUGAGGUAAAGGCUCACCAAGGCGACGAUCUUUAGCUGGUCUGAGAGGACGAUCAGCCACAUUGGGACUGAGACACGGCCCAGACUCCUACGGGAGGCAGCAGUGGGGAAUAUUGGACAAUGGGCGCAAGCCUGAUCCAGCCAUACCGCGUGUGUGAAGAAGGCCUUCGGGUUGUAAAGCACUUUAAGUAAGGAAGAAAAGAGUAUUGUUAAUACCAUUACUCCGUGACAUUACUUACAGAAUAAGGACCGGCUAAUUCCGUGCCAGCAGCCGCGGUAAUACGGAAGGUCCAAGCGUUAAUCGGAAUUACUGGGCGUAAAGCGCGCGUAGGUGGUUUAUUAAGUUGGGUGUGAAAGCCCCGGGCUCAACCUGGGAACUGCAUCCAAAACUGAUUCACUAGAGUACGAAAGAGGAAAGUAGAAUUCACAGUGUAGCGGUGGAAUGCGUAGAUAUUGUGAAGAAUACCGAUGGCGAAGGCAGCUUUCUGGUUCUGUACUGACACUGAGGUGCGAAAGCGUGGGUAGCGAACAGGAUUAGAUACCCUGGUAGUCCACGCCGUAAACGAUGACAACUAGCUGUUGGGAAGCUAUGCUUUUCAGUGGCGCAGCUAACGUCUUAAGGUGUCCGCCUGGGGAGUACGGCCGCAAGGUUAAAACUCAAAUGAAUUGACGGGGACCCGCACAAGCGGUGGAGCAUGUGGUUUACUUCGAUGCAACGCGGAAAACCUUACCUACACUUGACAUACUUGGCAUCUUUGUAUGAAAGAGUGCCUUUUGGAGCAGAUACAGUGCUGCAUGCUGUCGUCAGCUCGUGUCAUGAGAUGUUGGUUAGUCCAUAACGAGCGCCACCCUUAACCUUAUUGCCAGGCGAUUCGGUCGGGAACUAUUAAGGGGGACUGUC
rnacentral:rRNA from 1 species